rnacentral:rRNA from 1 species
AUUGAACGCUGGCGGCAUGCUUUACACAUGCAAGUCGAACGGUAACAGGCCGCAAGGUGCUGACGAGUGGCGAACGGGUGAGUAAUGCAUCGGAACGUGCCCAGUCGUGGGGGAUAACGCAGCGAAAGCUGCGCUAAUACCGCAUACGAUCUAUGGAUGAAAGCGGGGGACAGUAAGGCCUCGCGCGAUUGGAGCGGCCGAUGUCAGACUAGGUAGUUGGUGGGGUAAAGGCUCACCAAGCCGACGAUCUGUAGCUGGUCUGAGAGGACGACCAGCCACACUGGGACUGGGACACGGCCCAGACUCCUACGGGAGGCAGCAGUGGGGAAUUUUGGACAAUGGGCGCAAGCCUGAUCCAGCAAUGCCGCGUGCAGGAAGAAGGCCUUCGGGUUGUAAACUGCUUUUGUACGGAACGAAACGGCUCUGGUUAAUACCUGGGGCUAAUGACGGUACCGUAAGAAUAAGCACCGGCUAACUACGUGCCAGCCGCCGCCGUAACAC